UGAGGGGAUCAUUACCGAGUUUACAGCUCCCAAACCCAAUGUGAACGUUACCAAACUGUUGCCUCGGCGGGAUCUCUGCCCCGGGUGCGUCGCAGCCCCGGACCAAGGCGCCCGCCGGAGGACCAACCAAAACUCUUAUUGUAUACCCCCUCGCGGGUUUUUUACUAUCUGAGCCAUCUCGGCGCCCCUCGUGGGCGUUUCGAAAAUGAAUCAAAACUUUCAACAACGGAUCUCUUGGUUCUGGCAUCGAUGAAGAACGCAGCGAAAUGCGAUAAGUAAUGUGAAUUGCAGAAUUCAGUGAAUCAUCGAAUCUUUGAACGCACAUUGCGCCCGCCAGUAUUCUGGCGGGCAUGCCUGUCCGAGCGUCAUUUCAACCCUCGAACCCCUCCGGGGGGUCGGCGUUGGGGAUCGGCCCUUUACGGGGCCGGCCCCGAAAUACAGUGGCGGUCUCGCCGCAGCCUCUCCUGCGCAGUAGUUUGCACACUCGCAUCGGGAGCGCGGCGCGUCCACAGCCGUUAAACACCCCAAACUUCUGAAAUGUUGACCUCGGAUCAGGUAGGAAUACCCGCUGAACUUAAGCAUAUCAAAUAAGCGGAGGGA
rnacentral:rRNA from 1 species